GAGCUCAGUCUGUAGAUCAUGAGACUAUUAAUCUCAGGGUCAUGAGUUUGAGCCCCACAUUGGGCA